GACGAACGCUGGCGGCAUGCUUUACACAUGCAAGUCGAACGGCAGCACAGGGAGCUUGCUCCCGGGUGGCGAGUGGCGCACGGGUGAGUAAUACAUCGGAACGUGUCCUGUUGUGGGGGAUAACUGCUCGAAAGGGUGGCUAAUACCGCAUGAGACCUGAGGGUGAAAGCGGGGGAUCGCAAGACCUCGCGCAAUUGGAGCGGCCGAUGCCCGAUUAGCUAGUUGGUGAGGUAAAGGCUCACCAAGGCGACGAUCGGUAGCUGGUCUGAGAGGUUGAACGGCCACAUUGGGACUGAGACACGGCCCAGACUCCUACGGGAGGCAGCAGUGGGGAAUAUUGCGCAAUGGGGGAAACCCUGACGCAGCAACGCCGCGUGAUUGAAGAAGGCCUUCGGGUUGUAAAGAUCUUUAAUCAGGGACGAAACAAAUGACGGUACCUGAAGAAUAAGCUCCGGCUAACUACGUG
rnacentral:rRNA from 1 species